UACGAAGGGGGCUAGCGUUGCUCGGAAUCACUGGGCGUAAAGCGCACGUAGGCGGAUUGUUAAGUCAGGGGUGAAAUCCUGGAGCUCAACUCCAGAACUGCCUUUGAUACUGGCAAUCUCGAGUCCGGGAGAGGUGAGUGGAACUGCGAGUGUAGAGGUGAAAUUCGUAGAUAUUCGCAAGAAACACCAGUGGCGAAGGCGGCUCACUGGCCCGAUACUGACGCUGAGGCACGAAAGCGUGGGGAGCAAACAGG
rnacentral:rRNA from 1 species